UACGUAGGGUGCGAGCGUUAAUCGGAAUUACUGGGCGUAAAGCGUGCGCAGGCGGUUUUGUAAGCCAGAUGUGAAAUCCCCGGGCUUAACCUGGGAAUGGCAUUUGGGACUGCAAGGCUUGAGUGCGGCAGAGGAGACUGGAAUUCCUGGUGUAGCAGUGAAAUGCGUAGAUAUUGGGAGGAACACCAGUGGCGAAGGCGGCUCACUGGACCGGAACUGACGCUGAGGCGCGAAAGCGUGGGGAGCAGACGGG
rnacentral:rRNA from 1 species